rnacentral:lncRNA from 1 species
AGAAAACAAUUUGAAAAGUGUGACACAUGGCUGUACAGAGGGAAGCACCAUAUUCUAAAGAAAUCUGCAAAUUACAUUUAUCAUCUGACAUUCAGUAAUGUUCCUACCAGUAGAGGACGCCAUAAGUUUGCUAUCCAGAUUCCAGAUAAAGAAGACAAUUCAACAAGCCUUAAGAAAUUAAAAAAGUUGAUUAUAUAAAUUCUUAAUGAGUUACUCCAUGUUCUUAGUUUGACUUCUGAUGUAAUGAUGUCAGAAGACUAUUUUGUUGUGAGUCUACAAAGUCGAUAUUGUUCUCAAUAAAUAUUAUUCAUCCCAAUAAACCAGAAACUUAUUCAAGCAAGUGGAAAUAAAAGUUUGAGUAUUAACGUAUUAACACAAAAUUAACUUACUCUGAUUUCAGUAUAUCUCUGUACCUUUUACUUUUCUCGUAGAGAGGGCAGCACAUUAUUCAAAGAAAUAUUCAGAAUAAAUUAACAUUUAACUUGAUUUUUAAAUUAUAAUUAAGACAUUUUCAUUAGAAAAGUUUAGUUUCAUAAUUACCUCAUUAUCAGCUAUCAGGAAAUAAAAAGUGCAAUAUAUGACAAAGUUUAACAAGGAAAAGGUAAUAAUAAAUUGGCGAAGUUAGAUUUCUAACGGAACAACUUACUAGUUCGAGUAUUACCGUGUAGAGGGCACAACAACACUUUAAUAGAAAAUAUUCAAAUAGGUAAUCUGUCCUAUUCUAUUUUUAGUAAACCUGUCCUAUUCUAUUAGAGACAGAGCCGGCCCGAGGGCCGUGCGAGCCGUGCGCCCGCACAGGGCGCCAAGGGUUUGGGGCGAAUUUCCCCUCCAAA